rnacentral:misc_RNA from 1 species
AAGUCGUAACAAGGUUUCCGUAGGUGAACCUGCGGAAGGAUCAUUAACAAUUUUUACUUGGCUUUAGAAUCCGGUUCGCUGGAGACUUUAGUCAUUUUACACACCUGUGAUCUUGUUCUACCGCUUCUGUCGUAGUGAAGGCUUGCCUUUAUGAAAGCAGUAGCAUGUCUUUGUCGGACUGGUUUGCUUUGGCAGGCUGGAAGGGCAAUAGACGCUUAACCUUCACCUUUGGUGAUUUAAUGUAUCAAGUGUUGGAUUUGGGAUAAUGCGGCAAAAUAUAACUUUUAACAAUGGAUCUCUAGGCUCUU